rnacentral:rRNA from 1 species
CCUACGGGUGGCAGCAGUGAGGAAUAUUGGUCAAUGGACGCGAGUCUGAACCAGCCAAGUAGCGUGAAGGAUGAAUGCCCUAUGGGUUGUAAGCUUCUUUUGUAUGGGAAUAAAACGUUCCACGUGUGGGCUUUUGUAUGUACCAUAUGAAUAAGGAUCGGCUAGAUCCGUGCCAGCCGCCGAGGUAAUACGGAGGGUCGGAGCGUUAUCCGGAUUUAUUGGGUUUAAAGGGAGGGUAGGGGGUGUGUUAAGUCAGUUGUGAAAGUCUGCGGCUCAACCUGAAAAUUGCAUGUGAUACUGGCAGGCUUGAGUACAGUAGAGGGGGGUGGAAUUCCAGGUGUAGCGGUGAAAUGCUUAGAGAUCACGAAGAAUUCCGAUGGCGAAGGCAGUUCAUUGGACUUCAACUGACACUGAGGCGCGAAAGUGUGGGGAGCAAACAGGAUUAGAUACCCCAGUAGUC